rnacentral:rRNA from 1 species
UACGGAGGGUGCAAGCGUUGUUCGGAAUCAUUGGGCGUAAAGCGCGUGUAGGCGGCUAGGCAAGUCGGUUGUGAAAGCCCGGGGCCCAACCCCGGAACUGCAUUUGAAACUCCCUUUCUUGAGUGUCGGAGAGGAAAGUGGAAUUCCUGGUGUAGAGGUGAAAUUCGUAGAUAUCAGGAGGAACACCGGUGGCGAAGGCGGCACUCUGGGCCGGAACUGACGCUGAGGAGCGAAAGCGUGGGGAGCGAACAGG